rnacentral:snoRNA from 1 species
CCUCCUUUUCUUGGCGGGGACCGGGCUUGUGGAUCCGCUCCCCAUAGGAAGAGGGAAAGGGCUCUGGCCCCCUCAGCGUCAUGUCUUCGGUGCCGGUGACUUCUCAUCCGCUGGUUCUAUCCUCAAGCACCGAGACACCG